rnacentral:rRNA from 1 species
UACGAAGGGGGCUAGCGUUGCUCGGAAUUACUGGGCGUAAAGCGCACGUAGGCGGAUGUGUCAGUCAGGGGUGAAAUCCCGGGGCUCAACCUCGGAACUGCCCUUGAUACAGCACGUCUCGAGUCCGGAAGAGGUGGGUGGAAUUCCUAGUGUAGAGGUGAAAUUCGUAGAUAUUAGGAAGAACACCGGUGGCGAAGGCGGCCCACUGGUCCGGUACUGACGCUGAGGUGCGAAAGCGUGGGGAGCAAACAGG